rnacentral:rRNA from 1 species
UACGUAGGGGGCAAGCGUUGUCCGGAAUUAUUGGGCGUAAAGAGCUCGUAGGCGGUUCAGUAAGUCAGGUGUGAAAUCUUUGGGCUUAACCCAAAGCGUGCACUUGAUACUGCUGUGACUUGAGUUCGGUAGGGGAGUGGGGAAUUCCUAGUGUAGCGGUGAAAUGCGCAGAUAUUAGGAGGAACACCGGUGGCGAAGGCGCCACUCUGGGCCGAAACUGACGCUGAGGAGCGAAAGCGUGGGGAGCGAACAGG